AGAGUUUGAUCAUGGCUCAGAGCGAACGCUGGCGGCAGGCCUAACACAUGCAAGUCGAACGAACUCUUCGGAGUUAGUGGCGGACGGGUGAGUAACACGUGGGAACGUGCCUUUAGGUUCGGAAUAGCUCCUGGAAACGGGUGGUAAUGCCGAAUGUGCCCUUCGGGGGAAAGAUUUAUCGCCUUUAGAGCGGCCCGCGUCUGAUUAGCUAGUUGGUGGGGUAAUGGCCCACCAAGGCUACGAUCAGUAGCUGGUCUGAGAGGAUGACCAGCCACAUUGGGACUGAGACACGGCCCAAACUCCUACGGGAGGCAGCAGUGGGGAAUCUUGCGCAAUGGGCGAAAGCCUGACGCAGCCAUGCCGCGUGUAUGAUGAAGGUCUUAGGAUUGUAAAAUACUUUCACCGGUGAAGAUAAUGACUGUAGCCGGAGAAGAAGCCCCGGCUAACUUCGUGCCAGCAGCCGCGGUAAUACGAAGGGGGCUAGCGUUGCUCGGAAUUACUGGGCGUAAAGGGAGCGUAGGCGGACAUUUAAGUCAGAGGUGAAAUCCCGGAGCUUAACUUCGGAACUGCCUUUGAUACUGGGUGUCUUGAGUGUGAGAGAGGUAUGUGGAACUCCGAGUGUAGAGGUGAAAUUCGUAGAUAUUCGGAAGAACACCAGUGGCGAAGGCGACAUACUGGCUCAUUACUAACGCUGAGGCUCGAAAGCGUGGGGAGCAAACAGGAUUAGAUACCCUGGUAAUCC
rnacentral:rRNA from 1 species